UGAGGAUGAGGAUGAGGAUGAGGAUGAGGAUGAGGAUGAGGAUGAGGAUGAGGAUGAGGAUGAGGAUGAGGGAGGGCUUGCUCUGAGGACGGGGUGAUGGCAGCACCUCGUGUUUGUCAGCGAGCACAGCGGCAGCCGCGGCCUAGCCCAGCUCAGGCCUGUCUUCUCCCAGCAGGCCGGCAAGAGAUUUACAUAAUAACGGGCCUAUUUUAACUUUGCUUCAUUGGCUCCUGACAAGAUACAAUAUUUUUGAUUAAACAGCUUCCCAGGAAGGAGCCGCUGCCUUAAACCGCCCGCACUUUCUCUGACCCCAUGUGAUCUCAUUAGCGGCCCCCUCAGACAUGUCUGAUGGCGUCUGAAAUUCUGCUUUUCCUCCUUCCUCUAAACGAGCUCUUCAGGGUAGGGCAGAGCCCUCCUCACCCCCAUGCUGUGUCCAGCUCUGCCGCUCCCAGCCCUGAGCAGGGCAUUCCAUCAGCCCUUCAGUCCUGAGAGGCUUUUCUCCAGCUGCUUCCCUCCCUCACUCCUCCUCCUCUCCUCCCCUAUCAAUCCUCGAGCUGCCUUUUCAGUUUCUCUGGAUCUCACACCAUCUGUCUCUCUCCUUGCUCCUGUCUUUUUCCUUUUCCCUCCUCUACUGACCAGCCCAACAGAGAGAGAUAAAUCUCCCAAGCCAAGGAGACCACGUCCUCCAUAUAUAUUUAUGUGACAGUCAGAUGCUACGGUGACAAAGAUCAAAGCCAGCAGCGAGCUCGACAGGGAGAUUCAAUAACAGCACAGAGUUAGAGCGAUAGGAACAAGGCAAAUGGAUAGUUCUGAUUUUAGUAGAUUAUUGACUGCACAACAGAGGCAAAAAAAGGUUUCCCAGCAGCAUGGCUUAGAGAGCAGCUCUUCCCAGUACAGCCCAGGCGAACAAAAGGAGUGAAAUAUGAGAGAGGGAGCACUGGUGGCACAGCUGACAGUGCCAUCAUCUGUGUGAGGAAUGGGCCUCCCUCCCGGAUGAACCACUUGGAAUAUGGAUGGGAAAAGGUGAAAUCUGCUUGCAGCUGAGCCUGAAGUGAAGUGGGCUCUGCAGAGACUUGGGGCACAAUCCCACAUACCUCCCGUUACAUCUGGGCACCAGAGGAAGAUUUCUGUCUCUUAGAAGAGUUCUGCUGGCAUGGGGACAGCACAGAGCUGUGAAGGAUGCUGGGUGGUGUUUCUCUCCAGUCUGAUUCUAAACACAGGGCAUGGCUGAUCCUCUGCAGUGGGCAUGUCCUCACUGCUCUUUAGCCUGUUUAAUGUUGGGAACUGAAAAUCUAUGGGGUGUGCACAUGGCUCCCAGAGGAAUCUGGGUCAGGACAAGAAAUCGUCUUUGGUUCUGGUUCUUUCCUGCCCUCAGUAAAGAUCCCUCAGUGCAGCUAAUUCUGCCUUCCCCCACGAUCUCAUUUGGCACACAGAUUAUUUCCUUACAGCCCUUCUGGGGGAGAGGGAGAAAUUGAGAUGCAGAGCUCACCCAGCAAGAGUUCACUGCAAAACAUCCUGGAGAGGCUCACAGUGAAAGCUGGGGGGGUAAGGGCUGCAAAGGGAAAUCAGGUAUGAGCCAAAGGGAUGGCAACAAACCCCACAAUCCCCACCAGGUCUGGAGAAUCGAGAGCCAGGAAGAUUUUUCUUCUUGUGAUGUUUCCCCCGAGUUUUUCCAGCCACACAGGCCAGACCAGCAGCUCAGCUCCAGCCACACCUCUGGAUGUGUGCAGAACCACCUGCACACAUCCAGAAGCACCUGCAGAACCUGCUAAGAACAGCCAGGAAAUUACAGGAGAGGCUUCAAAUUUCGAUUGUGCUUCAGCCCGGGUUUCCUGACAGGGAAAUGAACUGGAAACAGCAGAACGAUGGGGAUUGACCUCCAAAAAAAGUAACCCAGCCCUGAACAGGAGCAUCCAGACGAGAGGAGCAAGGAUGAAACCACUUCACCCCAAGACCUGCAAGAAGUGGCAGCAUUUAGCAAAUAUUAAAUAAACAAAACCCACAGGGAGCUGCUGAAGCAUCUCCGAGAGCCUGGAAACCUGCAGAGGGGGUCAGAAGUGAUGUGGAGCCAUUUAGAGCACUGAACUGGAUUAAUUGGAACACCAGCAGGUUGAGAAGUUGGGAUGGGGGCAUGAAUAUGGGGUGUGAAGGAUAUCUCAUCUCUCUGCGCUUAAUUUCAGCCAAUUAGCACCCAUCCUGGGAAGGGGGGGGAGCUGUUAAGUGCUGAAUAACAAGAGUGUGAGCUCAAGUGUGAAGAGGUACAAGCAGGAACAGAGAGCCCCUUUCAGCAGCAUCUCUGUCAAUAUUCAGAGACUGAAAAACACCGUGAAAUUAUUUCUCCUGCAUUCUGGGAAGGGAAGGAAAUCUUACAGUACAAACACACUAAUGGGCUACGCAGGGAUCUGAAGGAGGAUUGGUGAGGUAUUAGAGCAAGCUGCAUAAGGGGGGAAAAAAAGAGCAAGGAAAGAGACAGGAUUUCCAGGGAGAUUUCAUCCAAAUCGAUGAAGUGAGAACUGUAAAGGGGCAGUAUUCCAUGGGGAUGGAGCUGGUAAUUGGCCCACGCAAGCCCAAACAGAGAAAAGCACUCAAAAUGCAGGCUGGAAGGGGAGCACGUGGCUGCCAGGUUCCCUUCAGGCAGGGACCAGGAGAGACCACGGGGAGAAAAGUUUCUCCUGUGCUAAUCCUGUGCACAGAUCUGUGAAGCCCCUUCCACAUCCCUCCUUAGAAAUCCCUGCUGCUGCAGUGCCUGGCAAACACUGCUAGUACCAAAGCAGGAGCAGGCUUAUCCCAGGAAGGAGAUCCUGGGGUGGCUGUGUCCCGUGCAGGGCCCUGUGUCCCUUGUGUCCGCUUGCCUGUCAGCCCAGAGGGAUGGGAACAGUCUUUGAGUUCCAAAUGUGCUCCAGGUGGAGGGUUCAGACCCCGAGGGCAGUUGAGAGAAGGCAGCACACGAGGUCUCAGCAGUUUGAGAGGAGCACUGCCUCAACAAGAAUGCAGAAUGAAAAAGAGGGACUGGGGUGAGAGCAGGUCCAGAGGGAGCAGACCCCACAUGAGGGCUGUGCCAGCAUCAGAGAGAGAUUGGCACUCAGAUCCUGCAUGUUUCUGAUUUGUUCCUACAGGGACAGUAAAGAAACCACUUGUUUCUGGGUUUGUGUUUCCCUCUUUUUAAAAAAGAAAUGCAAACUGAGACCAAGAGAAGAAAAAAAAAAAGCAUCUUGAAUGACCAAAUCCAGUUUUAAAAAUGCACUGUUUUAAAAAAACCAAACAUGAGAGUUCGGGGGAUUCAUUAAAAGCAGCUCCUAACUGCUCUCAGAUAACCCCAAUGGACAAACUUGACACUAAGGUGGGGCAGGGAUGAGGAAGCUGCUCCUGGAAAAUGUUCCUUCUGUCUCUGAGGGUUCACAGGUAACACUGACUCGGCUCACAGCUCAAGAGCUGGACAAGAUUAGAAUCAUAAGGGAAAAAAAUCUUCUUUCUCACUUGUUUCUUCUCAAUAUAAAAAUGCUCUGGAAAGUGCAAACCAGACUGGGAGUCACCUCCUGCUGUCCUGGUGGAACCAGCAGCAGCUCCAUGGGGAUCCUGAUUCUGCCCUGGUGUAACUUCCUGCUCUCCUGGAAGGGAUCAGGGCUGAAUUUUGGCACCUCUGGCUCUAAAAUCUCCCAGGGCUGGCUGUGGAAAAAAGCUCUAUUUUCACAUGUACCAUUUUUGGCUGCAUUUUCUGUCAAGUGUUCACAAAAAUAAGCGAUAGAAUGUUUAGGAAUUAUUAAUCGGUGUUUUAAUGAAUGACUAAUCAAUGCUUACAGAUUACUGGAAAGCCCAAACAGUCAAUAGGUUGCUCAUAAUAUUCUGUAAUACCUUCUCCUGACAUGCUUAUAAUCACCUGCUAAAUUAUGCUCCUCGUGUCUUUAAUGCCUAUUAAUCAUUUAUUAAUCUUUUAUAAGCCACUUGCAAAUGAAAGCAGAAUGUAAACCGUGAGAUGCCUUCCGUUCUGCCAGCUGUAAGCACCGUGAGUUUUUGGGGGUUUAGGGUAGGAUCCAUCAAGCAGAGACAUGAUUUGAGCCCAAUCCUAAGUCUUUGUGGCUUUCUGGGCCAUGGGUAAUUCGCUACCUUGGGCAGGAUUUGAGGGAGAGCAGGGAUGGCAAGGGCAGCUGAGAGUUUUGUGGUUCAGGUGAUGUCAAAAUAGUGCUCAGAAAAGAUGAAAUUGUCACGUCCACAAAAGCUUCAUGGAGAAAAUCCUUGCAGGGAGAGAGAGGGAGGAAUUAACUUCAAGGCUUAAAGCAAAGAAAGGGAAAAAAAUCUCCUCUGUGUAAGGACAGAGGAUUGAAGCAAAUGGACCACAGGUAGGGGAAAAUAACUGAAAAUUGGUUCGGGUAAUCACAGGAAAAUCGAAAGAUGCUCCAACACAAAGUAUGAGAAAAAGAACUGGUAACACAACACGUCUAUUCCUCCUCUCAGAUAGGACCCAUUUUUAUAAAAAUAUCUCCGUAUUUGUGAGAUCAGACCAGGGCUGCUGGACCAAGGAGAAACUCCAUCUGCAGCUCCCAGAGGCUGCCACGGAAUUCUCUCCCCAAUUCCUGGCAACUGCAAUUACUCACAACAACCCCUUUUAACCACUUCCAGGCAGGAGCUCUGCAGGACCAUCACAACCAUCUCAGGCACUCAGGAGCGCUCUGUGCAAUCCCUCUCCCAUUCCAUGCCCUCGGAGCACACAGAGCCAGUGGCUGCAAGGUCAAUCAGGGCUGCUUUUGGGUGCUGUGCUGUGUCACAUUCUGAAGAUGUGUGCUUGGAGGAGCAAACGCUGCGAGGAGGAGAAGGAAUUGGAGCCUAAAUUAAAAAGAAAACAUAAAAAUAAUAAAAUACAAUCCCCUUGA